rnacentral:precursor_RNA from 1 species
CCUGUAACUGUUCGUUCCCUUUUGUAAAUAAUUAAGGGGCCGAACAAUUCCAGACG